rnacentral:rRNA from 1 species
GACGAACGCUGGCGGCGUGCUUAACACAUGAAAGUCGAACGGUGAAGGGGCCUGCUUUUGUGGGCCCUGGAUGAGUGGCGAACGGGUGAGUAACACGUGAGUAACCUGCCCCCUUCUUCUGGAUAACCGCAUGAAAGUGUGGCUAAUACGGGAUAUUCUGGGUCUGUCGCAUGAUGGGUCUGGGAAAGAUUGCGCCUUUGGGUGUUUUUGGUGGGGGAUGGGCUCGCGGCCUAUCAGCUUGUUGGUGGGGUGAUGGCCUACCAAGGCGGUGACGGGUAGCCGGCCUGAGAGGGUGGACGGUCACACUGGGACUGAGACACGGCCCAGACUCCUACGGGAGGCAGCAGUGGGGAAUAUUGCACAAUGGGCGCAAGCCUGAUGCAGCGACGCCGCGUGAGGGAUGGAGGCCUUCGGGUUGUAAACCUCUUUCGCCAGUGAAGCAGGCCUGCUCCUUGUGGGUGGGUUGACGGUAGCUGGAUAAGAAGCGCCGGCUAACUACGUG